GACGAACGCUGGCGGCGUGCUUAACACAUGCAAGUCGAACGGAAAGGCCCUGCUUGCAGGGUACUCGAGUGGCGAACGGGUGAGUAACACGUGGGUGAUCUGCCCUGCACUUCGGGGUAAGCCUGGGAAACUGGGUCUAAUACCGGAUAUGAGCCAUCCUUCGUGUGGUGGUUGGAAAGUUUUUUGGGUGUAGGAUGAGCUCCCGGCCUAUCAGGUUGGUGGUGGGGUAAUGGCCUACCAAGGCGGCGACUGGCAGCCGGCCUGAGAGGGUGGACGGCCAAAUUGGGACUGAGAUACGGGCCAGACUCCUACGGGAGGCAGGAAGGGGGAAUAUUGCACAAAGGGCGCAAGCCUGAUGCAGCGACGCCGGGUGGGGGAUGAACGGCUUCGGGUUGUAAACUCCUUUCGCUAGGGACGGAGCUUUUUGUGACGGUACCGAGAUAAGAAGCACCGGCUAACUACGUG
rnacentral:rRNA from 1 species